rnacentral:rRNA from 1 species
UGCCAGCAGCCGGUAAUACGAAUGGGGCAAGCGUUGUUCGGAAUCACUGGGCUUAAAGCGUAUGUAGGCGGAAAUGAAAGUCAGGAGUGAAAUCCCAGGGCUCAACCCCGGAAUUGCUCUUGAAACUCCAUUUCUAGAAUCCUGGAGAGGUUAGGAGAAUUCCGAGUGUAGAGGUGAAAUUCGCAGAUAUUCGGAGGAAUACCAGUGGCGUAGGCGCCUAACUGGACAGGUAUUGACGCUCAGAUACGAAAGCGUGGGGAGCAAACAGGAUUAGAUA